AAAAAAUAGAUUUUACUUUGACCCGAAUAACAAAGAUCUAUUACGGCUAUAGUUUAGCUAGAAGAAAUCAAUGUAACAUCUAUUGAUUUAUAUAAGAUGUAAUAGGAGUGAAACGCUUACAAUUUUUUUGAUAGCUGGAUGAAGCUUAAAUGAAUUAAGUUCUAUUUUAUAUCCAAAGAGUUAUAAGAUUUUUUGGUGAUAGAAUGGUUAGGGCACACUAAUUAACUGAAAUAAUUUUCUCUACUUUGAGCUUAAAUUAAAAUUAUUUUUAUGUAUUAUCUAUCAUAUAGGCUUUAAUUAAGUUUAUUUUAUUUUCUUAACAGAUAAUGUUUAAAUUAGUAUUGUUUUAAAAGAGCCUUUAGGAACUCGGCAAAUUAUUAUCCCUCAACUGUUUAGCAAAAACAUAGUUUAAGGUAAUUUUUCUUAGAUGUAGCCUGCCCAGUGAAUCAUUUAACGGCCGCAGUACACUGACUGUGCUAAGGUAGCAUAAUAAAUUGGCUUUUAAUUGGAGUCUGGAAUGAACGGGAUCAUGGGGGAUAGCUGUCUUAAGGCUCUAAACUAUAACUUACUUAAGAGGUGAAAAUUCCUUUAGACUAGAUGUAAGACGAGAAGACCCUUAGAAUUAUUACUAGUUCCUUAAAAGAUAUGUUUUUGUUGGGGCAACAAGUUCGUAUCAAACCGAAGUUAAGAGUUAUUAUACAAAUAUUAUGUUUUAAAAUAAGAUUUCAAUUACCUUAGGGAUAACAGCAUUAUUAUUUUUUUAGAUUAUGACCUCGAUGUUGGACUAAGGACUUUAAUAAAUAGCCUUUAUUAUAAAUAGUUCUGUUCGAACUUAAUUCCUUA
rnacentral:rRNA from 1 species